rnacentral:rRNA from 1 species
GACGAACCGAGCGAACGUUGUUCGGAAUCACUGGGCUUAAAGGGCGCGUAGGCGGGUGCUCAAGUCUGUGGUGAAAUCCUCCGGCUCAACCGGAGAACUGCCACGGAUACUGGGUGCCUCGAGGGUGGUAGGGGUAUGCGGAACUAUCGGUGGAGCGGUGAAAUGCGUUGAUAUCGAUAGGAACUCCGGUGGCGAAGGCGGCAUACUGGACCACUUCUGACGCUGAGGCGCGAAAGCCAGGGGAGCAAACGGG